UGAGUAAACCAGAUGGUCGCGGGUACAAGUGCUGAAAGGCCGUACCUGAGGAAAGUCCGAGCUCCGCAGGGCAGGGUGCUGGAUAACGUCCAGUGGAGGCGACUCCAAGGAAAGUGCCACAGAAAUAAACCGCCUUACAAGAUUGGGGCAGCCAAGCUGACCCCGUUUAUUGAGCGAGAGGCCGGAGCCCUAGAGGCCAGAGUCCAGAGCUCGAGCAGCACAGACUGCGAUGUAAGGUAAGGGUGGAAAGGUGAGGUAAGAGCUCACCAGCGGCAUGGCGACUUGCCGGCUAGGUAAACCCCACCUGGAGCAAGACCGAAUAGAGGAGUAAUGGGGCUGCCCGUCCCGCUCCCGGGUUAGGUUGCUGGAGGCGUCUGGUAACAGGCGUUCGAGAUAGAUGACCGUCCAAGACAGAACUCGGCUUAUAGGUUUACUCACUCC
rnacentral:RNase_P_RNA from 1 species